rnacentral:lncRNA from 13 species
GAGGAGACCGUUCUUCCAAUAUGACUUGUAUGGUGUCCUGACAAGAAGAGACAAGGGAAUAACACCACCACGUGAUGGCGGAGGCAAAGAUUGGAGUGAUACAUCUGCAGGAUUUCCAGCACCCACAGAGGCUGAGGGAUUCAGGGUUCUACCAACAUCUUGAUUUCUGACUUCCAGCCUCCAGAACGCAAGGUGCUUCACCAGGGGCCAGAGAAGGUGGCCAUCAGCAAGCCUGACACAGGAAGAGAAAGGCAGAGUCAAGAGAUGGAAAUGAGAAAAAAGAAUCCCAGUGAUCACCCUGGAGUUCCUAUGUCCAGCUAUACCUGAAACCGACUCCAUUUCUCAAUUUCAAAGGACAUAAAAGCCCAU